rnacentral:rRNA from 1 species
UACGUAGGGGGCAAGCGUUGUCCGGAAUCAUUGGGCGUAAAGCGCGUGUAGGCGGCCAGGUAAGUCCGUUCUGAAAGCCCGGGGCUCAACCCCGGGAGGCGGAUGGAUACUGCUUGGCUCGAGUCCGGAAGAGGCGAGUGGAAUUCCCGGUGUAGCGGUGAAAUGCGUAGAUAUUGGGAGGAACACCAGUGGCGAAAGCGACUUUCUGGGCCAUUCCUGACGCUGAGGUUCGAAAGCUCGGGGAGCAAACAGG